GUACGGUAUGUGUAAUUUCCAGUUUAUGAUUUCAAUUGGAAAUGCUUUGAUCAUAGGAUGCAAAACUCUUUGUUGAACAGCUUAAAUUGUGCGUAGAGUUGUUUAGCUAAAGGACCUCGAAAACUGGUAUAUUUAGCAUUCAUGAAAGAGUUCUAAGGCUGUCAAAACAAAUUCUCAAGUUUUAAAAGUAACAAUUAAGCUUAAUAAUGGCGAGUAAUGUUAACAACAAUGUAUAAGUGAUAUUAUGACAUGUAAAGUAAUAAGUUAUUUUAUUUGAUAGUGAACUUUCUACUGGGAUAAAGCCGAAUUUAGCUUCUGUAAGUGCUCUAAGCAGAUUUUUAGAUGGAUAUGUUUUGUGGGUAUCAACUGCAAUAUUUGCAGUUAAUUUGCAUAGUUUGGUGUUGUAGAUAAAGAGACCUUUUACAGAACUAAAGCUUUACCGCAUGGCAGCGGCCGGACGACUACAAAAUAACCUUUACAAUUGAAGCUAUGUAAAUGUUUAGAAAUGUUCAAUUGAAAAUAAUGUCGUGUUGAAUUGAAAAUAAUUUAGUGUUCAACUGAGUUAUAUUCCAUAGAAUGGUCAAGACUAUUUUUUUGUGUUCAAUUGCACUUGUACUAUAUUUUAUGGAGAUCAAAUUCUGACUUUGAGCUUCUUGAAUUGCACUGCGCUAGAGUUUGCUCCAUGGUAGGAAAGAACAGAGGUAUAUGCCAUAGUUGCAGAAAGUCGGAUCAUUCGUUGUCGGAAUGUUCGAGAAAGAAAAGAUGCCCGAAAUGUGGUGAGGGGUUUGUGAAGUGGAUGGAGGUGGAAACAAAGGACGGUUGUUCCAUUGCUGUACUCGUGACUGUAGGCAUUUCAAGUGGUAUGAUGUUUCACCGUAUGACGAUGAGGUAGUGUGUUACGAUGGUGAAUCAAGUGGCGUCUCUAAUGGUAAUGAAGUCAUCGAUGAUUUGUUGCAUAUGUUGGAAACGUGUGCUAACAUAGCCGAGAAAAAAGACAUUGAGAUCUCUCUUAACAUCAUAACAAUUCGUAAGGGGAAAUGGGGUUCAGAAGAUGUUCUAUGAACUUUGAUGUAAUGGGAUGGUUUAGAAAUAUUUAAUCUUUGG
rnacentral:lncRNA from 1 species